rnacentral:rRNA from 1 species
AGAACGAACGCUGGCGGCGUGCCUAACACAUGCAAGUCGAGGGAGAAAGCCGCAAGGUGAGUAAACCGGCGAACGGGUGCGUAACACGUGGACAACCUACCUCGAUGACCGGGAUAACUGAGCGAAAGCUUUGCUAAUACCGGAUAAGCCCACGCGCUCGAAGGAGCGAGAGGGAAAAGGCGGCCUCUGUAAACAAGCUGUCACAUUGAGAUGGGUCCGCGGCCCAUCAGCUAGUUGGCGGGGUAACGGCCCACCAAGGCAACGACGGGUAGCUGGUCUGAGAGGAUGAUCAGCCACACUGGAACUGAGACACGGUCCAGACUCCUACGGGAGGCAGCAGUGGGGAAUCUUGCGCAAUGGGCGAAAGCCUGACGCAGCAACGCCGCGUGUGUGAUGAAGGUCUUCGGAUCGUAAAGCACUGUCGCGAGGGAAGACGAGUGGUUCCUAAUACGGAUCCAAAGAGACGGUACCUCGAGAGGAAGCACCGGCUAACU